GAUGAACGCUGGCGGCGUGCCUAAUACAUGCAAGUCGAGCGAACGGACGAGAAGCUUGCUUCUCUGAUGUUAGCGGCGGACGGGUGAGUAACACGUGGAUAACCUACCUAUAAGACUGGGAUAACUUCGGGAAACCGGAGCUAAUAACGGAUCAUAUUUUGAACCGCAUGGUUCAAAAGUGAAAGACGGUCUUGCUGUCACUUAUAGAUGGAUCCGCGCUGCAUUAGCUAGUUGGUAAGGUAACGGCUUACCAAGGCAACGAUGCAUAGCCGACCUGAGAGGAUGAUCAGCCACACUGGAACUGAGACACGGUCCAGACUCCUACGGGAGGCAGCAGUGGGGAAUCUUCCGCAAUGGGCGAAAGCCUGACGGAGCAACGCCGCGUGGGUGAUGAAGGUCUUCGGGUCGUAAAACUCUUUUAUUAGGGAAGAACAUAUGUAUGAGUAUCUGUGCACAUCUUGACGGUACCUAAACAGAAAGCCACGGCUAACUUCGUG
rnacentral:rRNA from 1 species